ACCUGGUUAUAUCCUGAGACAUUACCUGGUUAUAACCUAGUUAUAUCCUGAAACAUAACCUGGUUAUAACCUGGUUAUAACCUGGUUAUAUCCUGAGAAAUUAC